GACGGAAGGAGGGAGCUCUCUGUGAAGUGACGAAUCUGUUCUGAGUCUGAGACAAGAUCCAGGUGUGUGAGGAACCACAAUUCCAGCUCCCUGGUCUUGGUCUCAGGGAUGGAGAGAUUUAGAGAAAAACUCACGGCCCCGUAAGGCUUUGUAGGGUUGGAUGGAGUGGGGGCAUUUCCAGGAGGUUCCAGAAUGCCUAGAAAGCCAUCACUUUCUGUUGAGUUUUCCUUUCUAGGAAGUUGACGGAACAAAAUGAGGGCAAGAUAAUGGAUGGACUAACCGUCUGCAUGUCCUUGAGAGGACACAGCCCCAGUUCUGCCUCCUGCUGUUCCUCUCUGUGGCCACCAGAGGUCCGAGUGCAGCACUGCCUCGGUGGAGGAGGAUACUUUUCAGAGAGCAGUCCCCUGCAGUGUGCAGAUUUCUCCUCCUUUGACUGGGAUGGAUAUGGAGCUCACUGGGGUCACAGCUCCAGCCGGGAGAUCACUGAGGCAGCUGCGCUCCUGUUCUACCGCUGAGAGCUGUGCUGUGAGACGUGGAACCCAGCUCCUAAGCCCAGACCCUCAGAGAUGGAAAAAUAGAACGCUAACAAAGAGAGAAGGGAAU
rnacentral:lncRNA from 1 species